CAUCCUCCGGUAGGGGCUACCUAUAGUGUCUAUCGGAUAACUCAUCCGGACGGACGGGGUGUGAACGUGCAGAUGAACAGAAGAGUGAGCAGCUAAUGAACCAGAAUUUUCACACAUUCACAGAAAACGAGUGCGGUCACAGGAAAUUCUUCAAUAUCUUCAAGAGUUAUACGAGAUUGGAACACAAUGAGGAGCGUUUGAACCCGGAAUUCAUGGAAGAGGUGACGUGUGACGUCAAACUUAACAAGCGAAUACUGACCUUCCCGUACUUGUAAAAAGUUAGGCUGUACACUGUAAUGGAGGCAGAAGCUGCAUCUGGAAUAUAUACUACAAAAAAGGGGUGUUCAACCCUGCUCCUGGAGAGCUACCUUCCUGCAUACUUAAGUUCCAACCCUGAUCCAACACACCAGGACCAGCUAAACAAGGUGUUCAAGGCUACUUAAUUACAGACAGGUGUGUUGAGGGACUCACUUACAGUUGCACUGGUCACCACUUGUUGAUGCAUUAAUCUAAAAAAAUUCUAAUUUGCUUACCUGAAUAAGCAAGAUAAUAUUAUAUUAAUGUAUAAUAACAAGUUAACUUUUUGGGGCCACUGUAUUAUGCUGUUUUAUUGCAUUGCAUUUACUGCUCACCUCAUGUGCUGUGCAGUUUUAUGAUGUCCUGUAUUGUAUUGAGCUGUGUUGCACUUUCUGUAUGUAUUAUAUUGUGCUGUGCUAUACCAUCCUGUGCUUAACUCUGCUGUGCUGGCCUGUCUUGUAAUUGUUGAAGAGGUGGCCUCAUUGUCUCAUACAUUCUCAGAAAAAAAAAUAGUACAAAAUCUGUCACUGCGACAGUGUGAGACUGUACCUUAUUUAUUCUUAACCUAAGAACAAAUAAGGCACAGCUUUUGUAACCUAAAGCAUACAUAUUAGUGACUAUUAGUCACUCCAGUAGUCUGUACAUUUUUAGUACAGGCUCCCUGCCUGCCAUCAGCAUUUAACAGUACGUAACAGAACAGACAGUUUCUCCCACUUUCAUCUUAGUAAUUUGUUUUUGCAUUAGCUAGAGCCAAUUAGAUAAUGAAUGUUUACACAGACAAGCUCAACAUGCCAGGAGUUUCUGAAAUGCACUUGGACUGCGUUCUUCAACUGCCUCUGCAGGAUCCAAACUUUUCUUGUCAGCCUGUAUUACAUAAAACUGAUGUCAGAAUUCAAAACAUUCUCAUAUCCGUGUACGAAAUCUCAUUUUCCGAGGAGCAGAAGGAGUAUGUGUGAAUUAGAUCACUGCAGAAACAGCUGAGGCGGAGACAUUGAAUUUUCCAUAGGGUGACGCCACUG